CAUUAUCGUACCACAGAGGUGCAAGGGUUGUCGCUGACCUUUCCAAAAGGUCCUGCACACCCGAUCGCUCUCAAUCCAUUUCACCCUUUGUGCAUCACCGCGCAUGGUCGCUCCCUCUUGGCUUGCUUCGAGAGGGGGAGGCUCGCGUUUUUCACACAUAAACACCCUUCUAGUUUAAAAUGUCAUUCAUUUGCGAUAACACGCAAUCAAUACAACUUUCAACAACGGAUCUCUUGGCUCUCGCAUCGAUGAAGAACGCAGCGAAAUGCGAUACGUAAUGUGAAUUGCAGAAUUCAGUGAAUCAUCGAAUCUUUGAACGCAUCUUGCGCCCCUUGGUAUUCCGAGGGGCACACCCGUUUGAGUGUCGUGAAAUUCUCAAACCUUCUUGGUUUCUUGAUCAAGAUGGCUUUGGACUUUGGAGGUGUUUUGCUGGCUUUGUGAAAAGCCAGCUCCUCUUAAAUGCAUUAGUGGGGUCCCCUUUGCCGAUCCCCAGGCGUGAUAAGAUGUUUCUACGUCUUGGGAUUUGCUCUGUUCCUUGGGAACCCGCUUCUAACUGUCUCAUGGGAGACAUCGUUCGAGUUUGCUCGACCCACGAACCUUGACCUCAAAUCGGGUGAGACUACCCGCUGAAC
rnacentral:rRNA from 1 species